rnacentral:rRNA from 1 species
GAUGAACGCUGGCGGCGUGCCUAAUACAUGCAAGUCGAGCGAACGGACGAGAAGCUUGCUUCUCUGAUGUUAGCGGCGGACGGGUGAGUAACACGUGGAUAACCUACCUAUAAGACUGGGAUAACUUCGGGAAACCGGUGCUAAUACCGGAUAAUAUUUUGAACCGCAUGGUUCAAAAGUAAAAGACGGUCUUGCUGUCACUUAUAGAUGGAUCCGCGCUGCAUUAGCUAGUUGGUAAGGUAACGGCUUACCAAGGCAACGAUGCAUAGCCGACCUGAGAGGGUGAUCGGCCACACUGGAACUGAGACACGGUCCAGACUCCUACGGGAGGCAGCAGUAGGGAAUCUUCCGCAAUGGGCGAAAGCCUGACGGAGCAACGCCGCGUGAGUGAUGAAGGUCUUCGGAUCGUAAAACUCUGUUAUUAGGGAAGAACAUAUGUGUAAGUAACUGUGCACAUCUUGACGGUACCUAAUCAGAAAGCCACGGCUAACUACGUG